UGGGGAAUUUUGCACAAUGGGGGAAACCCUGAUGCAGCGACGCCGCGUGAUUUAGAAGGCCUUCGGGUUGUAAAAAUCUUUUCUAUGGGAAGAAAAUGACAGUACCAUAGGAAUAAGGACCGGCUAAUUACGUGCCAGCAGCCGCGGUAAUACGUAAGGUCCGAGCGUUGUCCGGAAUCAUUGGGCGUAAAGGGUACGUAGGCGGGUAAGCAAGUUAGAAGUGAAAUCCUGUAGCUCAACUACAGUAAGCUUUUAAAACUGCUCAUCUUGAGAUAUGGAAGGGAAAGUGGAAUUCCUAGGGUAGCGGGGAAAUGCACAGAUAUUAGGAGGAAUACCGGUGGCGAAGGCGACUUUCUGGCCAUAAUCUGACGCUGAGGUACGAAAGCGUGGGUAGCAAACAGG
rnacentral:rRNA from 1 species